rnacentral:lncRNA from 1 species
AGGCGAGAGCCCAUCAAAAUUAUCCUUGGGUGCAGCAGUCGCUAUGAGACACAAACACCAGCGAAAGCAAUUAAAUAUUCCAUCUUUAAUUAGCUUUGCAAAAAUAGUGAUGAGUUGGGGUCACAGUUCUGCCCAGUUUGCAUAAUUGAACAGAAACGUUUUACUAUACAACUAAAUUAAACCAGUUAUCAAUUCAAUUGUAACAAAGAAAGGAAUAGCAGAAGUAAAUAGCUAGGAUCACUUGUAUGUAAUAUAGACAACACAUAAUUAUAGAUUUUAAUCGAACAUAAAAUCGAUACUUAUCUCUUGAAGCGUGACCNNN